AUCCAUUUGUUAUUUCCAUUUGAACACGGCCCACAGUCUCGGGAGGAGUAACUCCUAGAGGUAGGUGCAUGAUUCAGACAUAGAUGUACCAGGAGUACUCAAACGGUGACUCGAGUCACUGAUAGCGCUGGUCAUUUCUACAGAAAAUGUCCCCGUCAUUUUGAA